AAAGACCGCCGAGUGCUGAAAUGACCAUAAAACCCCUGAAGAGCUCACUCUCCGAGACUGACAAGCAGACCUACGCUACUAUUUUCUCUGCACAAACUCUGCAACAAAGCAUCAGAAAAUUUCUGACUCAGAAUUUAGCUGUGUCCUCUCCUCUCUGUCCACGUCGGCUCCUCGCUCACAAGCAAUGGCAUGCCUAGACCUAACCGCCCCUCACAUUUAUUACAUUUACUACUCUGCCACUUACCGCGCCUCUAUCUUCUUCCCCUACCUAUGCUGCUCCACGACAACGGAGCUCAACCACCAAGACCUCUGUUUUAGGGUUAGGGUUUUAUUUAAUCUGCUCCGCUUUCUACGCUACCCCUUUGAAAAAUAUCGUCAAGUUCCAAGAGGUUUUUGAUUAUUUCUAUUUCGAAAGGUUUGGGCUUUUUUUCUCAUCUUUGUCGUUUCGCUUUGUUUUUUUUCUGCGUUUGAAUAUUUUUAUUGUUUAUUUUGGAACUGUAGAUGCGUUCUUUGACUCUCUCUCUCUCUCUGUAGACUGUGUGGUGUUGAGCUGGAUGAUGGUGGUUUUUAGUUGACUAAAUGGGAAUGGGCUUGCAGCUUUUGGUGGAAUGUAUUAGUCAGCAAUGCUUGUUUACUGCAUGUGGGUG
rnacentral:lncRNA from 1 species